rnacentral:snoRNA from 15 species
GCGCUGCCUUUGAGCCCCCGUCGCGCCUGCGCGUGGCGCCGGGGGUUAAGCUGCAGCGCCAGAGCACGUGCUUGCGCAUAACUGGGGCCGCCCGACCGUACGGGCGGCGCCUUUAACCGCGAGCGACAAGC